AGUGGCGCACGGGUGAGUAAUGCAUAGAUAAUGUGCCCCUUAGUUCGGGAUAACCACUGGAAACGGUGAUUAAUACCGGAUACUCCUUCUUGUUAUAAGACAAGUCGGGAAAGUUUUUCGCCAAGGGAUCAGUCUAUGUUCCAUCAGCUUGUUGGUGAGGUAAUGGCUCACCAAGGCUAUGACGGAUAUCUGGUUUGAGAGGAUGAUCAGACACACUGGAACUGAGACACGGUCCAGACUCCUACGGGAGGCAGCAGUGAGGAAUAUUGCACAAUGGAGGAAACUCUGAUGCAGCAACGCCGCGUGGAGGAUGACGCAUUUCGGUGUGUAAACUCCUUUUAUUAGGGAAGAUAAUGACGGUACCUAAUGAAUAAGCACCGGCUAACUCCGUGCCAGCAGCCGCGGUAAUACGGAGGGUGCAAGCGUUACUCGGAAUCACUGGGCGUAAAGGGUGCGUAGGCUGGCUUUUAAGUCAGAUGUGAAAUCCAAUGGCUCAACCAUUGAACUGCACUUGAAACUGAAAGCCUAGAGUUCAGAAGGGGCAGAUGGAAUUAGUGGUGUAGGGGUAAAAUCCGUAGAUAUCACUAGGAAUAUCAAAAGCGAAGGCGAUCUGCUGGGAUGAUACUGACG
rnacentral:rRNA from 1 species